CCGGAAAGGGAUAAUGCUUUUGUUAACAUCAGGAGAUUUUCAAGCAAUGCUGCCUUGGAAUAGGACACAAAGAGCAGAGAAAUUGCAAAUGGACCUACUCUUCUGUCUAUAAUCUUGAAGCAAGUCCCUUAUGUUAAUUAUUUUGUGUAUAAAACUGUAUAUCAAAGGGUUAUUCACAGCUUGUCAAGGCUGACAUAAAACACUGGCCCCUCAGUACCUCAUUACAGUAGAGCAACUUCAGGACCGUAUUCCAAAUUCCUUGGCUCUGUGAAUUUACUUGUAGACAAUUCAACUUUGAAUGCUGGUUUACUUUCUGAAAGGCCCAUCCCUUGCCUGAAGCAACAACUUUUUUAGGUUAGUGGGUCAGCUGAAGAUGUGUCUGAACUAAAAAAUGCUGUCACAGCUUUGUUCCUGACAGAUGCAGUCUGUAUGAGUACAUCUGUAGGAUAUGACUUCCCGCAAUGGAUUGAUCCACACCCUAAAGAUACCCAGCAGGCUGUAAAGACCCUCAUUUUGCUAAAGAGCUUUACAAUGUGAUACCUUAUUAUAAUUAUUGAUGUGGCAACAAAAGCCACUUUUUAAUAGAGUUCCCUGGCAUUUCUCAUGAUCAAAUUCAAUUUUCCUUUCUUGUACCUUAUUUCAUUAAAACUCCAUGAUUUCCAUGCUGAAAUUUUUCCAUGCUGCCUUGGGGUAAUGAGGUGUGUAAACUGUACUUUGGCCAAAAAAUGAUUCUUUGUUGGCUCCACCCUCUGACAUUUUUCCACUUUAAGGAUUUCAGAGAUGACUAAAUACAGGUCGCCUGGACCUCUUUUUUUCUUAUGUGGAAUGGAUCCAGAUGGAAACCAAGUUGAGGAGGAGCAAUGGAAUAACUAAAUGGGUUCUUGAGACUGCUGCAAGAUGCCAAGGCAUAGCCUGACAGAGAAGUACUCUUUGGAGUCAUAUUAGACCAAAGAGGUGUAGUCCCACUAUUAACUUUAACUGCAUUAAGUUGGACUAAAUUUGAGAUGUUGCCACAUUUUCCUUUGUUCACCAUGAGCUGCCUGGCCCUACUGCCUUUGAUCUGUCAGGUCUUGGCAUCUGGAAGACUAUAUAGGGAACUGAGUCUGGAGACUGAUGUGGGUGAAAACUAACUUGUCAAAAAAUAAAAUAUAAAAGUUUUCAGGUCACUGCAUAGCUGCCUGAAGACUGGUACUCACUCAUGGGAGGUGACAGGUAUAUGUGGCUGAGGGAAAAAGCUCAAGGUUCAGGUUCAUGGAACUUGCUUUGAUUAGAGAGUAUGUGUGGGUAAAAUAUUGGCUAAUGUUUAGUUAUAUUUCUAAGAAAUUUCUGUGAACUACAAGUAUACAGAGUGGACAGCCUUACAAGCGUUAGAAGUUGGGUUGGGUAUUACUAUAUCAAGUGUUCUUUGCCUGAGAUCUCCAUAUUCUUAUGGACUGAAGCUGUGUGAGAGCUGGCCAGAGCCUCUAGCACCCUGCUGUGUGCUGUGGAAUGCACUGCGAGGGCAAAGUGGUGAGGUUUGGUCUGAAGGUAUCUUGUUUAUUUGUUUAUUUGUUUAUUUGUUUAUUUUUUUUUAAUAUAUGUCAUAAACCAGAUAUUCCAAAGAAAAAUAUUCCAAAAUACACAAGGCUCUGAGGAAAUACUUGAUCCUCAGCAUUAAACUUUGGCAGUCCUGUCUAUGAUCAGUACUUUGGAAAAGGGACUCAAAGCAUAUCUGGUAGAUUGAUCUGUAUAUGUCAAGGACAUAUCCUGUUGCUUUGGUGAAAGUGGGCUACAGUCAACUAAACUGUAAGCAAUCAAAUAAGAUUCCUAUUUCCUACAAAAAAUCUUUUCUGAUGAGCUUUCUGCUUAGAUCUGUGGGCCAUAGAGUUGGGUUUUGGCUUUUGGUAUUUUUUUUUAUUAAUAACUUUUCCAGAACAAGACUGUGUUGGUGAGCUGGGGUGUUGUCUAUCUGGAUUUUUUUUUUUUAUAGCCACUUGGCUGUAGGGCACACCAGGUGCUCAGAUGUAUGAGUAAACUGUCCACACCCUUGAGAGUUACUGCACAAUGUCUGAGUGGAUUAACUUUGCAUGUUGCAAAAUGGCAGAAAAGUGCACUAGUUUAGCUGCCUGUGACAAAGGCUGAGCCAAAUUAAUUUUACCUCACAUUAACCUUGAGAUAAGAUGGUGUAAUUUGCUGCAAGAUGAAUUACUGCUACUCUGUUGAUGGACUUGUUAUGCUGUGAUGACUUGCUGAUGUGUUUGAACUGUAAAAUCAGACGGGGGAAGUAGAAAAUUUAGCAGGGUAGGAUUAGGCACUAGCUGGGAGCAGAGCAGUAGCUGAACAAAGACAAGAUUGAUUGGACAUGAAUGCGUGAUUUUAGAGGAGAAACUUGGCUGGCUGAGCAAAGAAAAAAUAGUAGGAGAGUGGGGUGGUAGAGAAGCAGUGUGACAUGGGGAGGAGGGAGAGACCGUGAGCAGCCAGUAGAGCAGAACUGAAGAGGUUCAAGCAAGAAAAUGGGAGACCUAGGUGAAGAGCUGAAAAAGUGAGGAAGGGUGUGGAAAAGCAGGAUUAGGGAGGAUAAAGCAAAGAAGUUGAGCUAAACAGAUGAUGAGUCCCUAGUCCGUUUUCCUUCUGUCUUCCACAGCCUGGAGAGAGCUGGGUUUCUUGAAUGUGACUUUCAUCCUGCAAUCCAUGACGAUCUGUGAAACCCCUGGCAAGAUGUCAUCCAUCUGGCUUUAAAUUUCAUCCCAUAGAUGGUCAUCUUCUACUCUUAGCAGGGGUCAAAUGACAGCACUGUCGUGGUGCUGGAUGCCUGUGAUACUUCGUGGUGACUUUUUUAUUAAAAAAAAAUCUAAGCUACGGGCCUACACUACAAAGUUCUAUCCUUAAAAACCACCGUUGAGGCUUUGAUAUCUGGAAGUUCCAGAAGUAAUCUAUUUAAAGCUCUAACCUGGGUGCCACCAGUUCAGCUCUUGCACCCAAAUGUGAACUGAUAUAAAACGGAUUCAGACCCAUCCAAGGUAAUCCCUUGGAUUCCUGUUUGUUCCCUGUCCAUUCUCUGUCUGUUCUACACGGUUUACUAUCUCUGUAUAAUAAGCAUCUUUUCCAGGUGUGUGAUUCAAAAGAAGUGGGAUAGCAGCAGCACAAGGCUACAGUCAAUGUCAUUACUGUUUUUAAUCCAGAAGAAGGGAGCCUUCCUUCCAGCCAGCAAAGAGGAGGAGGAAAAUGUGUUCACUAUUCCCAUCAGAAAGCAGAGCAUGUUUAUGUAAUUCGGGAAAAUCAUAUUUUGGUCAACAAGUGCAACCUGUACAUGUUCCAGAUCCUCACACCUGGCUGCAUGGCCUCACAGUGCAUGUGUGCUGAACCAGGAGGCUCAGGUGUGGGUGCAGGUCACCUGAACAGUCUUGCCAGAGAAAUGGCACAGUGAGUAACAGGCUACUGAGCAGAGAUCUAUGGAUAAUUCAGUAGGUAACUGAUUAGGUGAGUGUUACAUGACAUUUUCUGCUUCUCCUUGUUC